GUGGGGAAUAUUGGACAAUGGGGGGAACCCUGAUCCAGCCAUGCCGCGUGUGUGAAGAAGGCCUUUUGGUUGUAAAGCACUUUAAGCGAGGAGGAGGCUACCGAGAUUAAUACUCUUGGAUAGUGGACGUUACUCGCAGAAUAAGCACCGACUAACUCUGCGCCAGCAGCCGCGGUAAUACAGAGGGUGCAAGCGUUAAUCGGAUUUACUGGGCGUAAAGCGCGCGUAGGUGGCCAAUUAAGUCAAAUGUGAAAUCCCCGAGCUUAACUUGGGAAUUGCAUUCGAUACUGGUUGGCUAGAGUAUGGGAGAGGAUGGUAGAAUUCCAGGUGUAGCGGUGAAAUGCGUAGAGAUCUGGAGGAAUACCGAUGGCGAAGGCAGCCAUCUGGCCUAAUACUGACACUGAGGUGCGAAAGCAUGGGGAGCAAACAGGAUUAGAAACCCCAGUAGUCC
rnacentral:rRNA from 1 species